rnacentral:sRNA from 1 species
AGUGGCUCAUUCACCUGGUUACGACAGCCCUGCGAAAGCGGUCAAGCGCUUCAUAACAACCCGAAUGACGCACAAUACGGUGCCUGCCGUCCACCAAACCGAUACAGUCCACUUUGUGGCUCUAUCAAGCUUCGGACGCAACGUUGAGUUAGGCACCACCUA